rnacentral:rRNA from 1 species
GAUGAACGCUGGCGGCGUGCCUAAUACAUGCAAGUCGAACGGUCGACUUCGGUCGAUAGUGGCGAACGGGUGAGUAACGCGUUGGUGACCUGCCCCGGAGCGUGGGAUAACAGGCCGAAAGGCUUGCUAAUACCGCAUGCGCAAGUGGGAGUUAGAGACCCAUUUGUAAAGGGAAACGUUCGUAAGAACGUCUCGCUCUGGGAGGGGCCUGCGACCCAUCAGCUAGUUGGUAAGGUAACGGCCUACCAAGGCGAUGACGGGUAGGGGACCUGAGAGGGUGACCCCCCACAAUGGAACUGAAACACGGUCCAUACACCUACGGGUGGCAG